GUGGGGAAUAUUGGACAAUGGGGGGAACCCUGAUCCAGCCAUGCCGCGUGUGUGAAGAAGGCCUUUUGGUUGUAAAGCACUUUAAGCGAGGAGGAGGCUACCGAGAUUAAUACUCUUGGAUAGUGGACGUUACUCGCAGAAUAAGCACCGGCUAACUCUGUGCCAGCAGCCGCGGUAAUACAGAGGGUGCAAGCGUUAAUCGGAUUUACUGGGCGUAAAGCGCGCGUAGGUGGCCAAUUAAGUCAAAUGUGAAAUCCCCGAGCUUAACUUGGGAAUUGCAUUCGAUACUGGUUGGCUAGAGGAUGGGAGAGGAUGGUAGAAUUCCAGGUGUAGCGGUGAAAUGCGUAGAGAUCUGGAGGAAUACCGAUGGCGAAGGCAGCCAUCUGGCCUAAUACUGACACUGAGGUGCGAAAGCAUGGGGAGCAAACAGGAUUAGAUACCCCAGUAGUCC
rnacentral:rRNA from 1 species